rnacentral:rRNA from 1 species
GGUGAACGCUGGCGGCGUGCUUAAGACAUGCAAGUCGAACGGCAGUCUUCGGACUGUAGUGGCGCACGGGUGAGUAACGCGUAACUGACCUACCCCAAAGUCGCGGAUAACGAUUCGAAAGAAUCGCUAAUACGUGAUGUGCUGUCAGAUUGUGUUCUGCCAGUAAAGAUUGAUUGCUUUGGGAUGGGGUUGCGUUCCAUCAGCUAGUUGGUGGGGUAAAGGCGCACCAAGGCGACGACGGAUAGCCGGCCUGAGAGGGUGGCUGGCCACGGGGGAACUGGGACACGGGUCCCACUCCUACGGGAGGCAGCAGUUAGGAAUCUUCCACAAGGGGCGAAAGCCUGAUGGAGCGACGCCGCGUGAGGGAUGAAGGUCUUCGGAUCGUAAACCUCUGAAUCAGGGACGAAAGACACUUUGGUGGGAUGACGGUACCUGAGUAAUAGCACCGGCUAACUCCGUGCCAGCCGCCGCCGUAACAC